rnacentral:rRNA from 1 species
AUUGAACGCUGGCGGCAGGCCUAACACAUGCAAGUCGAACGGUAACAGGAAGAAGCUUGCUUCUUUGCUGACGAGUGGCGGACGGGUGAGUAAUGUCUGGGAAACUGCCUGAUGGAGGGGGAUAACUACUGGAAACGGUAGCUAAUACCGCAUAACGUCGCAAGACCAAAGAGGGGGACCUUCGGGCCUCUUGCCAUCGGAUGUGCCCAGGUGGUAUUAGCUAGUAGGUGGGGUGACGGCUCACCUAGGCGACGAUCCCUAGCUGGUCUGAGAGGAUGACCAGCCACACUAGAACUGAGACACGGUCCAGACUCCUACGGGAGGCAGCAGUGGGGAAUAUUGCACAAUGGGCGGAAGCCUGAUGCAGCCAUGCCGCGUGUAUGAAGAAGGCCUUCGGGUUGUAAAGUACUUUCAGCGGGGAGGAAGGGAGUAAAGUUAAUACCUUUGCUCAUUGACGUUACCCGCAGAAGAAGCACCGGCUAACUCCGUG